CGUGUCAUAUCCUGGCUCGCGUCUACAGGGAGAGCUUCAGGUGGAGGAUUUGGAGAAGCGGUUCUUUAUGUGACUUACAAUAGCGCCAAGGGAUCUCAAUUCAACUGAGCAAGCUUGGGGUGAAUUUGAACAAUGCAUUUCUCAUCACGAUCUCCUGUAUACCUCACUGCACCGAUUGCGUGAAACGUAACCCAAGAAUGAAAUCACAUCUCAUCACAAGACGAGGCACCUGCGAU